UACAGAGGGGGCUAGCGUUGUUCGGAAUUACUGGGCGUAAAGGGCGCGUAGGUGGCCUGUUAAGUCGAACGUGAAAUCCCCGGGCUCAACCCGGGAACUGCGUCCGAGACUGGCAGGCUCGAAUCCGGGAGAGGGAUGUGGAAUUCCAGGUGUAGCGGUGAAAUGCGUAGAUAUCUGGAGGAACACCGGUGGCGAAGGCGGCAUCCUGGACCGGUAUUGACGCUGAGGCGCGAAAGCUAGGGGAGCAAACAGG
rnacentral:rRNA from 1 species